rnacentral:rRNA from 1 species
GUACACGCUGUGACUAGCAUAUCAAUAAGCGGAGGAAAAGAAACUAACAAGGAUUCCCUCAGUAACGGCGAGUGAAGCGGGAAGAGCUCAAAUUUGAAAUCUUGAAAGGUCACCUUUCACGAAUUGUAGUUUAAAGAAGUGUUUUCUGUUACGAUCGUAAUAUAAGUUCUUUGGAAUAGGACAUCACAGAGGGUGAGAAUCCCGUCUAUGAUUGCGAUUUGUAGCUUUGUGAUACACUUUCAAAGAGUCGGGUUGUUUGGGAAUGCAGCCCAAAACGGGAGGUAAAUUUCUUCUAAGGCUAAAUAUUGGCGAGAGACCGAUAGCGAACAAGUACCGUGAGGGAAAGAUGAAAAGAACUUUGAAAAGAGAGUUAAAUAGUACGUGAAAUUGUCAAAAGGGAAGCGUUUAACACCAGUGUUGUUUUCUGAAAAUCAACCUCUGUUAGCUUUAUGCAUGUUUGUUUAGACCUAAUCAGCUAUCUUGCAUGUUCUAUUGUUUGCAGUGGUGCACUUUUCAGUUUACAGGUCAACAUCAGUUUUUUUUUACCGUAAAAAAGUUAAAGAAAGGUAGCUCAUGGCUCCGGUCGUGAGUGUUAUAGUCUUUUUCCUAUGCGGUAGGAGAGACUGAGGUCUGCAGUGUAGGCUAUUUGGCUAGAUACUCAGGUGCUAUGUGAUACCGUUUCAUAAACAACUUGUUGAUUAUGUUUUGUCUAUUGCAUACUCGCUUGUACUAUCAUACCUACGCUUAGGAUGUUGAGUAGCGACAUACGCAC